UACGUAGGGCGCAAGCGUAUCCGGAAUUAUUGGGCGUAAAGAGCUCGUAGGCGGUUUGUCGCGUCUGCCGUGAAAGUCCGGGGCUCAACUCCGGAUCUGCGGUGGGUACGGGCAGACUAGAGGUGAUGUAGGGGAGACUGGAAUUCCUGGUGUAGCGGUGAAAUGCGGCAGAUAUCAGGAGGAACACCGAUGGGCGAAGGCGGGUCUCUGGGCAGUAACUGACGCUGGAGGAGCGGAAAGCGUGGGGAGCGAAACAGG
rnacentral:rRNA from 1 species